rnacentral:rRNA from 1 species
GGGUGCAGCAGGCGCGAAAACUUUACAAUGCUGGCAACAGCGAUAAGGGGACCUCGAGUGCCAGGAUACAAUCUUGGCUGUCGCGAUGCCUAAAAAGCAUUGCAUAGCAAGGGCCGGGCAAGACCGGUGCCAGCCGCCGCGGUAACACCGGCGGCUCGAGUGGUAACCGCUAUUAUUGGGUCUAAAGGGUCUGUAGCCGGCCGGAUAAGUCUUUUGGGAAAUCCAGCUGCUCAACAGUUGGGCUUUCAGAAGAUACUGUUCGGCUCGAGACCGGGAGAGGUGAGAGGUACUUCAGGGGUAGGGGUGAAAUCUUGUAAUCCUUGAAGGACCACCAGUGGCGAAGGCGUCUCACCAGAACGGAUCUGACGGCAAGGGACGAAAGCUAGGGGCACGAACCGGAUUAGAUACCCGGGUAGUCCUAGCCGUAAACGAUACUCGCUAGGUGUCAGCCACGGUGCGACCGUGGUUGGUGCCGUAGGGAAGCCGUGAAGCGAGCCACCUGGGAAGUACGGCCGCAAGGCUGAAACUUAAAGGAAUUGGCGGGGGAGCAC